rnacentral:rRNA from 1 species
GAUGAACGCUGGCGGCGUGCCUAAUACAUGCAAGUCGAGCGAACAGAUGAGGAGCUUGCUCCUCUGACGUUAGCGGCGGACGGGUGAGUAACACGUGGAUAACCUACCUAUAAGACUGGGAUAACUUCGGGAAACCGGAGCUAAUACCGGAUAAUCUAUUGAACCGCAUGGUUCAAUAGUGAAAGACGGUUUUGCUGUCACUUAUAGAUGGAUCCCCGCCGCAUUAGCUAGUUGGUAAGGUAACGGCUUACCAAGGCAACGAUGCGUAGCCGACCUGAGAGGGGGAUCGGCCGCACGGGAACGGAGCCGGGGACCAGGCGACUGCGGGAGGCAGCAGAAGGGAACGGGCGGCAAUGGGCGGAAGCAUGGCGGAGCGAGGGCGCGUGAGUGAUGAAGGUCUUCGGAGCGUAAAGCUCUGUUAUUAGGGAAGAACAGAUGUGGAAGGAGCUAUGCACGGCUUGACGGUACCGAACCAGAAAGCAACGGCUAACUACGUG